UACGUAGGGGGCUAGCGUUGUCCGGAUUUAUUGGGCGUAAAGCGCGUGUAGGCGGCCCGGUAAGUCCGCCGUGAAAGUCCAGGGCUCAACCCUGGAAUGCCGGUGGAAACUGCCGGGCUGGAGUCCGGAAGAGGCGAGUGGAAUUCCUGGUGUAGCGGUGAAAUGCGCAGAUAUCAGGAGGAACACCAAUGGCGAAGGCAGCUCGCUGGGACGGUACUGACGCUGAGACGCGAAAGCGUGGGGAGCGAACAGG
rnacentral:rRNA from 1 species